rnacentral:rRNA from 1 species
UACGAAGGGGGGCUAGCGUUGUUCGGAAUCACUGGGCGUAAAGCGCUCGUAGGCGGAUCUUUAAGUCAGAGGUGAAAUCCCAAGGCUCAACCUUGGAACUGCCUUUGAUACUGGGGAUCUCGAGUCCGGGAGAGGUGAGUGGAACUGCGAGUGUAGAGGUGAAAUUCGUAGAUAUUCGCAAGAACACCAGUGGCGAAGGCGGCUCACUGGCCCGGUACUGACGCUGAGGAGCGAAAGCGUGGGGAGCAAACAGG